GACGAACGCUGGCGGCGUGCUUAACACAUGCAAGUCGAACGGUAAGGCUCCAGCUUGCUGGGGUACACGAGUGGCGAACGGGUGAGUAACACGUGGGUGACCUGCCCUGCACUUCGGGAUAAGCCUGGGAAACUGGGUCUAAUACCGGAUAGGACCAUGGUGUGGAUACUGUGGUGGAAAGUUUUUUCGGUGUGGGAUGGGCCCGCGGCCUAUCAGCUUGUUGGUGGGGUAAUGGCCUUCCAAGGCGGCGACGGGUAGCCGGCCUGAGAGGGUGGACGGCCACAUUGGGACUGAGACACGGCCCAGACUCCUACGGGAGGCAGCAGUGGGGAAUAUUGCACAAUGGGCGGAAGCCUGAUGCAGCGACGCCGCGUGGGGGAUGACGGCCUUCGGGUUGUAAACUCCUUUCACCAUCGACGAAGGGUUUCUGACGGUAGAUGGAGAAGAAGCACCGGCUAACUACGUG
rnacentral:rRNA from 1 species